UGAGGUCUCCCCUCAUUUGUUAAUGGUUAAACUGAAGGUCUUACUGUGUGAUUCCAGCUUUGUUUACCAUAGGCAUUUUUUUUUACUCUUACGUGGCAUGUUACAAUGUAUGCAAAGAACAUUCUUAGGAAUAUAAAGAUGUACUAUGUUUCCUCAAAAUAUAAUCUUACUGACAACAGGCCUAUUCACAGGAAAACCCCUUGAUUAGUCCUCUGUGCAUUAAACACUUCUCCUGAAGCCUUCAAAGUUGCCAGCCAGGUUAUACGCUGAUUAAAAUUGCAGUAGUGGUUGGUUCUAUAUGUUAAAAGUCAUAUGAUGCCAUGGUACACACAGGUAUAUAUAUACGAGGUGCCUGGUGACUCUUCUCAGACUGCUCUGGACUUCCCUCCUCAGAACCAGCCAUCAUUUCGGAGAAGUUACCUACCACUAUGAUGCCUGGGGGCUUAUCUGAAACUAAGCCUGCUACUGCAGAAACCCAGCAUAUUGUUGACCAGGUGAAGCCAGAAUUUGAAAGAAGGGAAAAAGAAAAAAUAUGAUAUCUUUCAAGCCAUAGAAUAUAGGACUCAGGUGGUUGCUGGAACAAACUACUUCAUUAAGGUCCAAGUUUCUGACACUGGCUACGUCCACUUGAGGGUGUUCCAAGCCCUUCCUCAUGAGAACCAAGGUCCCAGCCUUGUCAGUUUUCAAACUGGCAAAACCAGAGAUGAUCCUCUGACCUACUUCUGAGAGAUGGUGGGGAAUGUUUCCUCACUUCUGCGAAUUGCAUAUGGAUUCUACCUGUGUCAGUAAAUGCAUGAGAAUAAAAUAAGUUUUGAAAGCUUUGUUCA